rnacentral:sRNA from 1 species
UCUGAUGCAAAACUCAAAGAAGAAAUCUU